GUAACACUAACUGGAGGACCGAACCGACUAAUGUUGAAAAAUUAGCGGAUGACCUGUGGCUGGGGGUGAAAGGCCAAUCAAACCGGGAGAUAGCUGGUUCUCCCCGAAAGCUAUUUAGGUAGCGCCUCGUGAAUUCAUCUCCGGGGGUAGAGCACUGUUUCGGCUAGGGGGCCAUCCCGGCUUACCAACCCGAUGCAAACUGCGAAUACCGGAGAAUGUUAUCACGGGAGACACACGGCGGGUGCUAACGUCCGUCGUGAAGAGGGAAACAACCCAGACCGCCAGCUAAGGUCCCAAAGUCAUGGUUAAGUGGGAAACGAUGUGGGAAGGCCCAGACAGCCAGGAUGUUGGCUUAGAAGCAGCCAUCAUUUAAAGAAAGCGUAAUAGCUCACUGGUCGAGUCGGCCUGCGCGGAAGAUGUAACGGGGCUAAACCAUGCACCGAAGCUGCGGCAGCGACACUGUGUGUUGUUGGGUAGGGGAGCGUUCUGUAAGCCUGUGAAGGUGGCCUGUGAGGGUUGCUGGAGGUAUCAGAAGUGCGAAUGCUGACAUAAGUAACGAUAAAGCGGGUGAAAAGCCCGCUCGCCGGAAGACCAAGGGUUCCUGUCCAACGUUAAUCGGGGCAGGGUGAGUCGACCCCUAAGGCGAGGCCGAAAGGCGUAGUCGAUGGGAAACGGGUUAAUAUUCCCGUACUUGGUGUUACUGCGAAGGGGGGACGGAGAAGGCUAUGUUGGCCGGGCGACGGUUGUCCCGGUUUAAGCGUGUAGGUGUGUGUUCCAGGUAAAUCCGGUU
rnacentral:rRNA from 1 species